GCUCGUGUAACUCAGUGGUUAGAGUGUCGGUCUUAUAGGCAGAAAUCCUGCGUAUGCACGCCGAAGGCCGUGAGUUCAACCCUCACCUCGAGCA